rnacentral:rRNA from 1 species
AUUGAACGCUGGCGGCAGGCCUAACACAUGCAAGUCGCACGAGUGGCGGACGGGUGAGUAAUGUUUGGGAAACUGCCCGAUGGAGGGGGAUAACUACUGGCAACGGUCGCUAAUACCGCAUACCAUCGGAUGUGCCCAGAUGGGAUUAGCUAGUAGGUGGGGUAACGGCUCACCUAGGCGACGAGCCCUAGCUGGUAUGAGAGGAUGACCAGCCACACUGGAACUGUGACACGGUCCAGACUCCGACGGGAGGCAGCAGUGGGGAAUAUUGAACAAUGGGCGCAAGCCUGAUGCAGCCAUGCCGCGUGUAUGAAGAAGGCCUUCGGGUUGUAAAGUACUUUCAGCGAGGAGGCGUUACUCGCAGAAGAAGCACCGGCUAACGCCGUGCCAGCAGCCGCGGUAAUUC